rnacentral:rRNA from 1 species
GGAUUGCAGGCUGNAACCCGCCUGUAUGAAGUUGGAAUCGCUAGUAAUCGCGGAUCAGCAUGCCGCGGUGAAUACGUUCCCGGGCCUUGUACACACCGCCCGUCACACCAUGAGAGUCGGGAACACCCGAAGUCCGUAGCCUAACCGCAAGGGGGGCGCGGCCGAAGGUGGGUUCGAUAAUUGGGGUGAAGUCGUAACAAGGUAGC